GAGAGAUACCAACAGGAAACAAAAACUGAGGAAAAGCAAAAGAAUGUUUGGAUAUUUAUGCCAGGCGCUCGUCGAAUUGAAUAAAGCGUUUUCAUUCCCCGCGUUAGUUUUCUUAACGCUCAGAUUGAUUUCAUCAGCUUUUAGUCUAUAUGUUGCCAUUAGCGGACUCUUGAACGCAGAUAAUUUAAUCUUUCGAGCUUUGAUUCCCGCUUUUGCCAUGAUAUCCAUCGUUGGUAUCUUUGGUAUUCUAAUUAUAUUCAGAGCUGCAGAUUUGCCAAUAAUUCAGGUCAGAGAUUGAAGCAAUUUUUUUGCAUAUUAAAGUAUAUACUACUAUUUCUCCAACAGAUGCGAAAACUGCGCGAUAACAUCUUUUGCAUUUUGACCGAAAAAAAUGAUCUUGACAUGAAUAUGAAAUUGGAGGCGGUGGCAUUUCUCCAAGUUAUUUCCGAGCAAAGAGUUCGAUUGUCAGCUGCAGGACUUUUCUCGGUCGGCAUGAAUGUCGUACCAUCCUUGACUGCGGCGAUUAUAACUUACCUUAUUAUCUUACUUCAAACCAAACUGGUUUAAUCUUCAAUCUUCAUUACUCCGAUGGUUGGAAC